rnacentral:tRNA from 1 species
UGGGGUGUGGCUCAGCGGUAAAGCACUUGCCUCCCACGUGUGAGGCACUGGGUUUCAUCCUCAGCACCACAU